CACGUAGGGGGCGAGCGUUGUCCGGAUUUAUUGGGCGUAAAGAGCUCGUAGGCGGCUUGUCGCGUCGUCCGUGAAAACUUGGGGCUCAACCCCAAGCUUGCGGUCGAUACGGGCAGGCUCGAGUUCGGUAGGGGAGACUGGAAUUCCUGGUGUAGCGGUGAAAUGCGCAGAUAUCAGGAGGAACACCGGUGGCGAAGGCGGGUCUCUGGGCCGAUACUGACGCUGAGGAGCGAAAGCGUGGGGAGCGAACAGG
rnacentral:rRNA from 1 species